GCAUGGGUGGUGCAGCCGUAGAACUCCCACCUGCCAUGCGGGAGGCCCAGGUUCGAUCCCCGGCCCAUGCA
rnacentral:tRNA from 1 species